UGGUUCAUCUGAUGAUUAAUUUCACUCCUUUUUUUUUUUUUUUUGUUCUUGCUAUAAACCAACUGGUACAUUGUGAUUGAUAAGAAGCUGCAUUCUUAGCGUGGACAGUUAGGAGGAGGAGUUGGGCGAGUAGUCGUUUCUGUAGCCAAAUGGUUGGCCCAUUCAUCCCUGGAAUACCCACAUGUUUUGGGACCCAGAGAGAGACAACUAAGGAGGUAGUAAGACUCAAGUCCGAGAAAAAGUCAUGAAUAGCAGAGAUCAUGGGUAACGAGCAAUACCAAUCACAGUCAUUGCUCACUGUGUCGCUAGUAAUUAGGAUGUGUUUGAGGGAUGUUUGCUUAACACAACCUAGGGCUCUGUCAACUCAACUGUAAAAACACAUUACUGGAAACACAUGUUGUUCCUGACUGGCAGGAGAAGUAAAAUCAUACCCUGUCCUAGCCACAAUUUGGAACCAUCAAUAUCACACACCGAAUUUUAAAGUUACAGUCAUGUAUGCCACCACACCCCCUUUAUUUCUGUUACAGAAACCAGUAUUAUUUCAAAAAGAACUGUGAACUUUUGUUUCCAGCAAUUACACGUAUGAUACAUUGUAUAUGUUGGUAACAGUGCAGGUUUCUAGUGUCUGUAAAUGAUUAUCUUUGCUAGUAUUUAGUUUGUUUUGUUGCAGCAGUUCGUUCACGUUACUGAAUGUUCGUUGUCCAAGUGCUACAUAUACUUGUGGAAGUACAUAUCCUUCAGUGUGCUGCCGAUCUAGUUUGCAGUGCCGGAAUUUGCUGGUGGAGGAAAUCUGCUAACUUUGUAUUGCACAAAGUUCAACUCACUUGCUUGUGCUUCUACAGGUACAACAUUCAUAAGAACACACUGUACCUGAAAACAAGAGGCCCAAAAUGUUCCAGUUGCAACAGCAGUACCAGUGAGAUCACCAGAUGGUCAGCAAGUUUUUACAGACAAUGAGGAAAUGGAGUUUGCAGUACAUGCGGUUGCCAUAUCUACAUAUGGAUUUCCAAUUACCUGUCUUGAUCUUCGGUGCAUUGCUAAGAGCUAUCUGGAUAGGACAGGGCAAAAAGUACCUGCUUUUGGAAAUAAUUUUCCUGGCAGAGAUUGGGCCGAAUCUUUUAUGAAACGUCACAAAGGCUUCAUUUCACUAACAACUGCCAAAAAUAUUACCUAUUCAAGGGCUUCAACUGAUGAAAAUAUAAUUAAUUUAUUUUCGAAUCUUGAGAAGGAGAUUGCCAGAACAAAUUUGGAACUAUGAUGAAACCAAUCUCGUUGACGACCCAGGAAACAAAAAGGUCAUCACACAGCGAGGAUGCAAGUAUCCAGAGCAAAUUCGAAACUAUUCAAAGGCUUCCACAUCGUUGAUGUUUUGUGGGAAUGCUGUAGGGAAUCUAGCACCUUUACAUAUUAACUAUAAAGCAGAAAAGAUUUGGUCCACUUGGACUGAGAAUGGACCAAAAGAGUCUACAUACAAUAGAACCAAAUUUGGGUGGUUUGAUCACCAGGUUUUUGAAGACUGGUUCAUUUUUCUCAUGUUGCCUAUUUUGAAGAAACAAAUGGGAGGGAUCGAAGAAGAGUUGAAAAUGGCCAUCAAAGCCUAAAGCCAUUUUUUAAGAUGCAGUAGUAGUUUUGUACAGCAUAAACCCACCCAAACAAAUAAGUGACAGAGGUUUAUUGCAAGUGAAUGGUGUAGAUCAAUAAGGCCAAGUUUAUUGUCAACUUGUUGAGCUGUAAUGCGUGAAACAAUAGCUAUUAGUAUUAUCAAAGCCUAGCAUUUAAAAUUCAUUUUCUAUAUUUUUUAUUUGUUCAUAAUGUUAAAAUAGUUUUAUGGGGUUAAAUUGUGACUGUAUUAUUUCCCUAUUAGUUUUAGUUGAAAAACCAGACUGUCACAAAGUCACGCCACAUUGUGGGGUGACAGUGGCAGUUAUUUUUAACUGUAAUUAGGUCAUACUUUAGUAUUUAGUUUGUGUUUGUAUGUUGUUAUGUAAUCAUUUUUAUCUAGUUCUAAUGAAUAAAAAUAAAAAGUGUCCCAAAGUCACUCCCCCCCCCCCCCCCCUACGGUAGUGACAAGGCACAUUUUCAUGUUAAUGGGUGCGUGAAUAAGCAAAUCUUUCGGUGCUGAGCUGGAAAUAUCCCCCAAGUUGUUCAUGAAAGAUCGCAUCAUUUUCCUAAAGUGACAGUGUGAUGUGCUGUAUCACAAUUUUGCAUGGUAGGUCCUUAUUCUUUUUGAGGAGGAAGGAGUGACCGUGGCAGCGAAUUCCACACCAUAUGUUUCCAGUUGCAAAAUUUUCUGCAACCCAGAAUCGACAAGAUUGUUGACGAACAUGGACUAGGGGAAUUUCAGCUGAUGUUUAGAGAGAAAUGUCUCUGGGACGCCUCAUUUCUUUGAGGUGUGAUGUUGGGUGGCCUGUGCAGUCACCAGAUUUCAGCAUUUGUGACUACUUUCUUUUGGGAUAUCUCAAGGAAAAGGUUUUCAAAAGCCGCUCUUACACCCUACCAGAGUUAAGAGUGGACUACUGAUGAAGUGAAUGCCAUACCCCACGAUAUGUGUGCAAGAGCUGCUCAAAACAAUGUUUUGUGCAAAUGGCUGCCGCCUUGAGGAUAUUAUUUUCAAAACUAAAUGAAUGUAAAAUGCUAUAUUGUACUAAUUUAGAAAAUAAAAACAUUUUUUUCUAUA